GAUGAACGCUGGCGGCGUGCUUAACACAUGCAAGUCGAACGAAGCACUUAAGAUUGAUUCUUCGGAUUACGUCUUUUGUGACUUAGUGGCGGACGGGUGAGUAACGCGUGGGUAACCUGCCUCACACAGGGGGAUAACAGUUAGAAAUGACUGCUAAUACCGCAUAACCCGAUAGGAUCGCAUGAUCCAGACGGAAAAGAUUUAUCGGUGUGAGAUGGACCCGCGUCUGAUUAGCUAGUUGGUGAGGUAACGGCCCACCAAGGCGACGAUCAGUAGCCGGCCUGAGAGGGUGAACGGCAACAUUGGGACUGAGACACGGCCCAAACUCCUACGGGAGGAAGCAGUGGGGAAUAUUGCACAAUGGGGGAAACCCUGAGGCAGCGACGCCGCGUGAGUGAAGAAGUAUUUCGGUAUGUAAAGCUCUAUCAGCAGGGAAGAAAAUGACGGUACCUGACUAAGAAGCCCCGGCUAACUACGUG
rnacentral:rRNA from 1 species